rnacentral:lncRNA from 1 species
GAUCGUUUUUGGGUCGAAACGCCACGAGAAAUCCAAAAGACGACGCUUUUUCUGGGAGGCAACUAGCAAAGGAAGUAUGUGGUAUUGUGUUACCCCAAGAGAGGAACAAAACAACACUAAAACACAACAAAAGGAAAACAAAUUUUAAUCAGUUGAACCAUAAGAUAAUCGAUGAAAGACUAAACAACGUUUAAACGGUAGCCACAAAAAAACACGCAACUGGGAUGCAAUGCCACAAGAGAGAAAAAGGAGAGGAGGAAAAUAAUGCAUGAUGUUUUCAGAAACAAUAAUACAAUGCCGCAAGAGAGAAAAAGAAGAGGAGCUACAAGAGAGACAAAGGAGAGGAGGAAGACGAUGAUAUCAGAAACUACAAUGUCGCGAAGAGUCUGCGGUUUAUUUAACAUGAAAUGGCGUGUCGGUUGCUCCAGAAAUCGACGUCUAUAGUCACCUAGANGUCGGUUAUCUAAAUAAUUCGAUGUCCAAGAUAACAUCUAAACUGACUUUUUGAAUGCCCAUUANACGUCGGCCUCCGGGGGAGCCGACGUCUAGGGCGCUGAACCGAUUGACGUUUCAUUUCCUGUCAGGGAAGUAGACGACAUUUGUGAAUGGGCGCCGACAUCUAUAAUAAUAUAGACGUCGGGUCUCUGCUGUCGGAUGUCGAAGUGCCUCGAAGUUUGGUGAACAUAAUUAAUUACAGGCACAUAGACCCCGCGCACCAAAAUAUGCAACGUGUAUUUUGCAGAAAUUUUUGUCUUCCCGCC